rnacentral:lncRNA from 1 species
CCCAGGGCCCAUCACCUACAAGGAGAAUGAAGACCCAUGACUUGGCCUAUAAGGUCUUCAAUCAUCUGACCGACCACCUGAUGAAGAGUUUCAGCUAUACUUGGAAGGUCAGAUUGAGGCCAGAUCCUGAUGGACCUUGAAUGCCGGGUUGAGGAGCUUAGAUGGAAUCCUUCAGAUUUCUGGAACUGCGAGGAGGCAUCUUCAUUUAUGUGCUCCAGUGAAGCCUGGCUCCAAGCAAGUCUCAUCACCCCUGACCGUGAAGAUGCAGGUUGUAACCUGAACCAUAUUGGAGAGUUUCUUUUGGGAUGACUGAAGGCUGGAGAGAAUCUGAAUUUACCUUCCUUCUAAAGAAAGGCAAUCUUUAAAGGCAGUAAGGUGUGACGCUCCAGACUGGCAGCUUGGCAAGGCAGAGCCCAUGGAUACCAGCACACGGGAAUCUGGACCGCUCGCUCUGACAGCAGUCAGCACUGGGAACAAAAGGAAUGGAGGGGAAAAAAAGCGCAAAUGUAUUUUUACAUAUUGUAGGCAUAUGGCCACAAGACCAGCAGAAAUAUAUUUAAUUACCAAUUGCGCACAUUGAAGAGAAAAACCCCGGGAAGGAAAAAAAAAAAAAAAAAAAAAAACCUGUGUACACAGCAAUGUUAUUCUACUUUAACUUUUCACCUCAUUUUUUUUUGUUUGUUUGUUUUCUUUUCUUUUUUUUUUUUUUACCUGAAGAUGAAAAGGAUGUGGUUUAGAAUCGAGAAGGGUUAUCUACUAGAAUCCCAUUGAAGGUGCUAUGGGUCUUUGACAUGCCUUUCCAAAUAGUGUAACAUUAAUUUUUCUUUUAAUUAUUUUAAUUAUAAAAUAAUUUUUCAAAGGUAUUUGGGGGGGUCAGGGGGACCUACCUGAAACAGAACCAUUAGACAAUCCCACCGUCCCGUGAAAACUGUAUUUCUGAUGUUAAACAUUUGUUUAGGCCUUGACAAUGAACAAAUCCCCCUUGGAAGUUUUAUAGUUUUGUUCUUCCUUAUGAAAUCGGAACAGUUCAGCCCACAUUAAUUGCCUGCUUCCUAUCUGUCAGGCACUGUGCUAGCCAGUGGAGGGGCAGAGAUGAACCAUAUAUAUUCCCUGCGCUCAAGAAGCUCAUAGUCUAAGAUGGGAGACAGACACAGGUAUCUAUAAUUAUAAUAUUAAAUUAUUAAAAUUAUAAUAAAAAUUAAAAGUAUAAUUAUAGUACA